GAUAAACAGUUCUCUGCACCCAAAUCCCGUGGGAGGGAGAGCUAAACCUUCAGAGAGGCAGACACGCCUGGGAAACCAGAAGAGACUGCACUCUGCACACAGCCAGAGGAAAACACCAAACGCCAUCUGGAACCCUGGUGCACUGCUGCCGUGGAGAGCUCGUGGGCAGCACCACUCGAGCAAACUUGAGCCUCGGGACCACAGGUAAGACCAACUUUUCUGCUGCAAGAGACCUGCCUGGUGA
rnacentral:lncRNA from 1 species